UACAGAGGUCUCAAGCGUUGUUCGGAUUUACUGGGCGUAAAGGGUGCGUAGGUGGUGGAGUAAGUCAUCCGCGAAAGCUUUGGGCUCAACCCAAAGAUUGCAAAUGAUACUGCUUCACUUGAGUUCUUAAGGGGGGGCUGGAAUUCACGGAGUAGCAGUGAAAUGCGUAGAGAUCGUGAGGAACACCAAGGGCGAAGGCAGGCCCCUAGGAAGAUACUGACACUGAAGCACGAAGGCUAAGGUAGCAAACGGG
rnacentral:rRNA from 1 species